GCCUGGCUGGCUCAGUUGGUAGAGCAUGAGAUUCUUGAUCUCAGGACUGUGGGUUCGAGCCCCACAUUGGGUG